CAGUCGCCGCGGUAAUGCGUAGGGUGCGAGCGUUAAUCGGAAUUACUGGGCGUAAAGCGUGCGCAGGCGGUUUUGUAAGACAGGCGUGAAAUCCCCGGGCUCAACCUGGGAAUGGCGCUUGUGACUGCAAAGCUAGAGUGCGGCAGAGGGGGAUGGAAUUCCGCGUGUAGCAGUGAAAUGCGUAGAUAUGCGGAGGAACACCGAUGGCGAAGGCAAUCCCCUGGGCCUGCACUGACGCUCAUGCACGAAAGCGUGGGGAGCAAACAGGAUUAGAUACCCGGGUAGUCCCUGUCUCUUAUAA
rnacentral:rRNA from 1 species